rnacentral:rRNA from 1 species
UACGUAGGUGGCAAGCGUUGUCCGGAUUUAUUGGGUUUAAAGGGUGCGUAGGCGGUUUUAUAAGUCAGUGGUGAAAUACGGCAGCUUAACUGUCGAGGUGCCAUUGAUACUGUAAGACUUGAGUACUGAUGAGGUAGGCGGAAUUGACGGUGUAGCGGUGAAAUGCGUAGAUAUCUGGAGGAACACCGGUGGCGAAGGCGGCAUCCUGGACCAACACUGACGCUGAUGAGCGAAAGCCAGGGGAGCAAACGGG